rnacentral:snRNA from 1 species
GUGCUCAUGUCUGCAGCACAUAUACUAAAACUGGAAUGAUCCAGAGAAGAUCAGCAUGGACCCUGGAUAACAUGCAAAUUAGUGAAUUGUUUCAUAUUUUU